GACGAACCGUCCAAACGUUAUUCGGUAUCACUGGGCUUAAAGAGUUCGUAGGCGGCUCCGUAGGUGAGGUGUGAAAUCCCUCGGCUCAACCGAGGAAUUGCGCUUCAAACCGUGGAGCUAGAGGUAGGCAGGGGUAAGCGGAACAGAUGGUGGAGCGGUGAAAUGCGUUGAUAUCAUCUGGAACACCGGUGGCGAAAGCGGCUUACUGGGCCUUUUCUGACGCUGAGGAACGAAAGCUAGGGUAGCGAACGGG
rnacentral:rRNA from 1 species